UAGAGUUUGAUCCUGGCUCAGAUUGAACGCUGGCGGCAGGCCUAACACAUGCAAGUCGAGCGGUAACAGAUUGAUAGCUUGCUAUCAAUGCUGACGAGCGGCGGACGGGUGAGUAAUGCCUGGGAAUAUGCCCUGAUGUGGGGGAUAACUAUUGGAAACGAUAGCUAAUACCGCAUAAUCUCUUCGGAGCAAAGAGGGGGACCUUCGGGCCUCUCGCGUCAGGAUUAGCCCAGGUGGGAUUAGCUUGUUGGUGGGGUAAUGGCUCACCAAGGCAACGAUCCCUAGCUGGUCUGAGAGGAUGAUCAGCCACACUGGAACUGAGACACGGUCCAGACUCCUACGGGAGGCAGCAGUGGGGAAUAUUGCACAAUGGGGGAAACCCUGAUGCAGCCAUGCCGCGUGUAUGAAGAAGGCCUUCGGGUUGUAAAGUACUUUCAGUUGUGAGGAAGGCGUUGAUGUUAAUAGCUUCAGCGUUUGACGUUAGCAACAGAAGAAGCACCGGCUAACUCCGUGCCAGCAGCCGCGGUAAUACGGAGGGUGCGAGCGUUAAUCGGAAUUACUGGGCGUAAAGCGCAUG
rnacentral:rRNA from 1 species